rfam:Myotis davidii contig282980, whole genome shotgun sequence.
GCCGGUUUGGCUCAGUGGAUAGAGCGUCAGCCUGCAGACCGAAGGGUCCCGGGUUCGAUUCCGGGCAAGGGCA